rnacentral:rRNA from 1 species
AUGUUCAAUGACUUUAUUGCCGAUCUCGGUCUCCGCGAGAUUGAUAGGAUUGGUGCCAGGUUCACCUGGACCAAUCGGCAGGCUUCCCCGACUAAGUCCGUCCUGGACAGGGUCCUAGUUUCCCCGGAUUGGGACCGCCGUUGUACCCUCGCGUCCCUUCGCGCCAUCACCCGGGUUGGCUCUGACCAUGUCCCGCUCCUUCUUUCCUCCACCGAUGAGCGCCCGCUGAUCACCCCAAGAUUCCGAUUUGAGACCUUCUGGCUUUCCCAAACCGGGUUCAUGGAGGCCGUCGGCGCGCACUGGGUGGAGGCCCGUGCUCCGUCACCCCCGUCCCCCUUGGCUAUUGAUUCGUGGCACUUCUGCGCCAAGCGUGGCCGACGGUUCAUGAAGGUAUGGGGCGCGAACUUGGGGCGUGACCUCCGCGAGCAUAAGAAGGCCCUGCUAGCCACCAUUCAGGCGCUCGACCUACGUGCGGAUGCGGUGGGGCUAUCUCCCGAUGAGUGGCUUUCCCGCUAUGACUUAGAAGAUCAGCUCUCCGUGAUCUACACGGAUGAAGAGGCCUACCGGCGCAUCCGUGGUGCCCAGAAGUGGGUUUUGAAGGGAGACGCGAACACGGCUUACUUUCAGGUGAUCGCGAAUGGCCGCCGCUGUGGCAACACCAUCCCCCUCUUGUAGGAUAGUGCCACCCUCCUUCAAGACUCGCGCGACAUCCGGACCCACGUUGAUGGGUUCUAUAGGUCUUUGUUCUCUGCCGCUCCUAGGAGCGCCCUCUCCCUGGCUCCUGACUGCUGGUCUGGCCCUCAGCUGGUUUCUGACACGGUGAACGCGGCCCUUACGACCCCCUUCUCCGAAAGCGAGGUUUGGGCUGCCAUUAGGGGCAUGAAUCCCACCUCGACGCCGGGUCCCGAUGGCCUCCCGGUGAAGUUCUUCCAGACCUUCUGGAACGUGAUUAAACCUGAGGUCAUGGCCAUCUUCGAAGAGUUCUACGUUGGAUCCAUUGACCUUGGUCGCCUUUACUUUGGGAUAAUCUCCCUCAUUCCCAAGGUGUCGGGCGCAUCUGACAUUCGCCAGUUUUGCCCGAUCACGGUCAUCAAAGUGAUUUUCCGGAUUCUUGCAAAAGGGUACGCCAAUAGGGUGACCCUUCUUGCAGAUCGCAUUACUCACCCCAACCAGUUGUGA